rnacentral:rRNA from 1 species
CCCUUAGAUGUUCUGGGCUGAACACGUGCUACACUGGCAGGUUCAGCGAGCUUCAUGCCCUGAUCUGAAAGGAAUGGGAAAUCUUUUCAAAACCUGCCGUGCUUGGGAUAGAUGUUUGCAAUUAUUCAUCUUCAACGAGGAUUGCCUUGUAAGCGCACGUCAUCAGCGUGCAUUGAAUACGACCCUGUAUUCUGUACACACCGCCCGUCGCUCCUACCGAUUGAAGUUUUCGGUGAGUUGACAGGAGGAUUUUUUUGAAACUGGUUCGCCAGUGGAUUUUAGAUCCAAAUGCCAACGAAUCGAUGGCUUUAGAGGAAGGAGAAGUCGUAACA